ensembl:lncRNA
UCAGCUUUUGACUUGAUAAAUCUAUGAUGUGGGUGGAAACUACUCAUUUAAGUUCCUCCUGUAUGUGUGUAAUGUCUUCAAACAAUCGCGUGCUGGACUGGUAAACUUCAGACUAAUAUUGCAUGCUACAUACAACAUGUAAACUAUGUUAUUCUGUCUGAGGAAUUUACUUCUAAUUGCUGCAGUUCUUGGUAAGUAACUUAACUGUUAAAUGUAACAAUUUUUUUAUUAUUCUUAGACAAGAACAUAUGAAAAUUAUUUCUUGAUUUUCUUUACACAAGAUUCUGUCAAUCAGCCAACAAGAGUUCAAACAGCUUCUGAACAAGAGAUGGUUAAACUUCACUGCACUUACAGUACCAGUGACCAAUACCCUUAUCUUUACUUGUAACAACAUAAAACCAAUGCAUUCCCAGUUUACAUACUCCAUAAACUCUCGACUGGAUCAAGCAGCAGUGAAAAAGAAUUUGAGGAAAGAUUUCACGCAGAUCUCAACAAUUCCUCAAGCUCAGUUUCUCUGUCAAUCCAGGACGUGUGACUCUGUUUACUUCUGUGCUCUGCAGCCCACUGUAACUGAAACACAUACACAUCCUGAUAGGGACUAAGAGCUCUGAAACAACAUGAGCAUGUUUUUAACUAGAAUAAACACACUCCAGCAGUGGGUGGAGCUUAUUGUUGAGAGUGUGAGGCAGAGUGAAACAGCUACAGUACAGUUUUAAAGAUUAUAUUGUUGUCAUCACUGUCUCUGUAAAGAUAUCAUGUUUCUUUUCAUCUUUAUAAUAAUCCAAUUUUGCAUGGGAAACUCUUUUGGUGACACAAUACAACCAUGGUUUCUAGAAAAACAUGAUUCUGAGGGUGAAAAUGUGACUCUGUCCUGUAACUACAGUAUCACUAGUGGCAGCACUGGUGUUAAUAUCCAGUGGUUUCGCCAGUAUCCCGGAGCAAAACCAGAGUUUUUACUUCUUGUCACUGAAUAUUCUAACAAAUCUGAGCCUGAACUACGUCUGUUUUCAGAAGCUAAAAAAGAAAUCAAACGUGUGGAUCUGGUGAUCUCUUCUGCUGCUGUAUCAGACUCUGCUAUGUACUACUGUGCCCUGCAGCCCACAGUGACAGGAAACUCAACAAACACUGUACAAAAACCUUCCCUUUUAUCUAGUAAAAUAAAAAAAACACACAUACACACACAUACAGAGACAAAGACUAAGAGAGGAACUGUAUGUAGAGUAUUAAUAGGUCUGAUAAAAUAAUCUGAUUUAAAAAAAAAGUACUGAAUCCAAAUCAG